rnacentral:rRNA from 1 species
AGAGUUUGAUCCUGGCUCAGGAUGAACGCUAGCUACAGGCUUAACACAUGCAAGUCGAGGGGCAGCAUGGUCUUAGCUUGCUAAGGCCGAUGGCGACCGGCGCACGGGUGAGUAACACGUAUCCAACCUGCCGUCUACUCUUGGACAGCCUUCUGAAAGGAAGAUUAAUACAAGAUGGCAUCAUGAGUCCGCAUGUUCACAUGAUUAAAGGUAUUCCGGUAGACGAUGGGGAUGCGUUCCAUUAGAUAGUAGGCGGGGUAACGGCCCACCUAGUCUUCGAUGGAUAGGGGUUCUGAGAGGAAGGUCCCCCACAUUGGAACUGAGACACGGUCCAAACUCCUACGGGAGGCAGCAGUGAGGAAUAUUGGUCAAUGGGCGAGAGCCUGAACCAGCCAAGUAGCGUGAAGGAUGACUGCCCUAUGGGUUGUAAACUUCUUUUAUAAAGGAAUAAAGUCGGGUAUGCAUACCCGUUUGCAUGUACUUUAUGAAUAAGGAUCGGCUAACUCCGUGCCAGCAGCCGCGGUAAUACGGAGGAUCCGAGCGUUAUCCGGAUUUAUUGGGUUUAAAGGGAGCGUAGAUGGAUGUUUAAGUCAGUUGUGAAAGUUUGCGGCUCAACCGUAAAAUUGCAGUUGAUACUGGAUAUCUUGAGUGCAGUUGAGGCAGGCGGAAUUCGUGGUGUAGCGGUGAAAUGCUUAGAUAUCACGAAGAACUCCGAUUGCGAAGGCAGCCUGCUAAGCUGCAACUGACAUUGAGGCUCGAAAGUGUGGGUAUCAAACAGGAUUAGAUACCCUGGUAGUCCACACGGUAAACGAUGAAUACUCGCUGUUUGCGAUAUACAGCAAGCGGCCAAGCGAAAGCGUUAAGUAUUCCACCUGGGGAGUACGCCGGCAACGGUGAAACUCAAAGGAAUUGACGGGGGCCCGCACAAGCGGAGGAACAUGUGGUUUAAUUCGAUGAUACGCGAGGAACCUUACCCGGGCUUAAAUUGCAGAUGAAUUACGGUGAAAGCCGUAAGCCGCAAGGCAUCUGUGAAGGUGCUGCAUGGUUGUCGUCAGCUCGUGCCGUGAGGUGUCGGCUUAAGUGCCAUAACGAGCGCAACCCUUGUUGUCAGUUACUAACAGGUUCUGCUGAGGACUCUGACAAGACUGCCAUCGUAAGAUGUGAGGAAGGUGGGGAUGACGUCAAAUCAGCACGGCCCUUACGUCCGGGGCUACACACGUGUUACAAUGGGGGGUACAGAGGGCCGCUACCACGCGAGUGGAUGCCAAUCCCCAAAACCUCUCUCAGUUCGGACUGGAGUCUGCAACCCGACUCCACGAAGCUGGAUUCGCUAGUAAUCGCGCAUCAGCCACGGCGCGGUGAAUACGUUCCCGGGCCUUGUACACACCGCCCGUCAAGCCAUGGGAGCCGGGGGUACCUGAAGUGCGUAACCGCGAGGAGCGCCCUAGGGUAAAACUGGUGACUGGGGCUAAGUCGGAACAAGGUA